rnacentral:rRNA from 1 species
CACCCGAAGCCGGUGGAGUAACCUUUUAGGAGCUAGCCGUCGAAGGUGGGACAAAUGAUUGGGGUGAAGUCGUAACAAGGUAGCCGUAUCGGAAGGUGCGGCUGGAUCACCUCCUUUCUAAGGAUAUAUUCGGAAC